CGAGAGAGUUGCAAAACUCCCUACAACCCUUUGUGAACCUCACCCGUUCCGUAGUGUCUCCGGCAGGUAUCCCCAGAGGAGGGGACUUGUGCCAUCAGGGCGCCUGCCGGAGGGCUCAACACAAACUCUUUUAUGGCGUGUCCGCCACUGCUGUCUGAGGUACUAUAGAAAUAAAUCA
rnacentral:misc_RNA from 1 species